UACUGCCGGGCAGCACUUCCC
rnacentral:miRNA from 1 species